AUUAAGAUGGCAGAGCCCGGUAAUUGCACAAGACUUAAACCCUUGCUGUCAGAGGUUCAAUCCCUCUUCUUAAUA
rnacentral:tRNA from 1 species